rnacentral:rRNA from 1 species
ACGGCUCAGUAACACGUGGACAACCUACCCUGAAGAGGGGGAUAACCCCGGGAAACUGGGGAUAAUACCCCAUAGACUAUGGAUGCUGGAAUGCUCUGUAGUUCAAAGGUCCGCCGCUUCAGGAUGGGUCUGCGGCCGAUUAGGUUGUUGUUGGGGUAACGGCCCAACAAGCCUGUAAUCGGUACGGGUUGUGGGAGCAAGAGCCCGGAGAUGGAUUCUGAGACACGAAUCCAGGCCCUACGGGGCGCAGCAGGCGCGAAAACUUUGCAAUGCGAGAAAUCGUGACAAGGGAACUCCGAGUGCCUGUAAAAUCAGGCUGUCCGCCAGUGUAAACAACUGGUGAAGAAAGGGCCGGGCAAGACCGGUGCCAGCCGCCGCGGUAAUACCGGCGGCUCGAGUGGUGGCCACUAUUACUGGGCUUAAAGCGUUCGUAGCUGGCUUGUUAAGUCUCUGGGGAAAUCUUCCGGCUUAACCGGAAGGCGUCUCAGGGAUACUGGCAGGCUAGGGACCGGAAGAGGUGAGAGGUACUCCGGGGGUAGGAGUGAAAUCCUGUAAUCCUUGGGGGACCACCUGUGGCGAAGGCGUCUCACCAGGACGGCUCCGACAGUGAGGAACGAAAGCUGGGGGAGUAAACCGGAUUAGAUACCCGGGUAGUCCCAGCUGUAAACGAUGCGCGUUAGGUGUAUCGGUGACCACGAGUCACCGAGGUGCCGAAGAGAAAUCGUGAAACGUGCCGCCUGGGAAGUACGGUCGCAAGGCUGAAACUUAAAGGAAUUGGCGGGGGAGCAC